GGUGCACGGGUCGCCAUGUUGGGUUAGGGCAGCUGCUUUGGCUGCUUACCCGGAACCCUCUCAAUCUAUUGACUCGACCCGAAUGCCGAGUCUUGGUUCCACACCCACUCCUCCCGACGCCCGGACUCGUAGAGCAGCAUUUCUGGCGCCACCCUAUAGCCAGUAGGAUGGGCGGCGGGAGCAUGGAUCAGAAGCGGUUCCUUGUUUUGAACUACCACGUGGAUUGCCGAGCCAAUCAAGGGGAACGUCCACUUUGAUUCGCCGGCUUGCUCAGACCCCGCUUUAACCUGGGUCAGACGGCAGAACCUCUUAAACGAAAGGUCUCGGCCUGCCUAGUCGUUUCCCGUCCUGGGCCUCUGAGGACCUCGCGGCAAGGCUGCGAGCAGAGGCGUUGGUCUACCUUCCAAAUGGAGGCCAUGGGAUCUUGGGAGGUUUUGUUCUCCACUCUUGGAGACACGAGGAUGGGAACUGGAGACAUUACCGCCUGGACUGCCCUAAUGCUAAGUGCAAGGGCUUUGGCCACUCGCCCUGGAAGGCGGAAUAUGGAGAGCGGCCGACUAAGUGCAGAAAAGUAUCUGGAGCUAAAAGGGCUUGGAGCCCGGCGACAAGGGUUUGAGAGGGGCACUUAUGCUCCCAUUCAGUGAAAUCAGUGGAUCAAUAUCAGUGGAGAAAGGAGAUGUCUGCAUGUGAUGACUGGCUGCCUCCGUGGACUGAGGUUCAGACGUGCCUGGAAACAAACCUAAAGCUGCCCUACCUAAGAAUCACAUCCCAAGCUAGACUUGACCCUCAUACCUGUGAACCCAGACGGUCCAGAAACAAGCUUACCAGUGAGUCUGGGCUCAGGAACAGGUGUGUGUGCCCUUGGUGCUGGGGCUAUUGGAUUGGCCUACCUACAUCCUCAACAGUCUCCACUCUGCCUGAAUGAUCCUGAGGGUAUCAGAAAGCCCUACACUGUUGGUACCUGGGCCCCAACAUACUGUGAACGGAAAUGGGCCUUCUUUCUUUUCCUAUAGGUUAUUUGCUGACAGUUCUAUUAAACUUGUUUCUAAG
rnacentral:lncRNA from 1 species